GUGGCUUAGUGGAAAGACCUGGUCUUGGGAGUCAGAGGCCCUGGGUUCUAAUCCCAGC
rnacentral:tRNA from 1 species